AGUGAACGCUGGCGGUAGGCCUAACACAUGCAAGUCGAACGGCAGCACAGUAAGAGCUUGCUCUUACGGGUUGCGAGUGGCGGACGUGUGAGGAAUACAUCGGAAUCUACUUUUUCGUGGGGGAUAACGUAGGGAAACUUACGCUAAUACCGCAUACGACCUACGGGUGAAAGCAUGGGAUCUUCGGACCUUGCGCGAUUGAAUGAGCCGAUGUCGGAUUAGCUAGUUGGCGGGGUAAAGGCCCACCAAGGCGACGAUCCGUAGCUGGUCUGAGAGGAUGAUCAGCCACACUGGAACUGAGACACGGUCCAGACUCCUACGGGAGGCAGCAGUGGGGAAUAUUGGACAAUGGGCGCAAGCCUGAUCCAGCCAUACCGCGUGGGUGAAGAAGGCCUUCGGGUUGUAAAGCCCUUUUGUUGGGAAAGAAAAGCAGCAGGUUAAUACCCCGCUGUUCUGACGGUACCCAAAGAAUAAGCACCGGCUAACUUCGUG
rnacentral:rRNA from 1 species